GCUGUGACAGCCACAGGGCCAGCACCACACUUAAGUUUCUCACACUCAGUGGACAGGGAUCCAUUUUCUCUCAUUAGGUCCUCAAAUGCUAUGGCAAGCCCUGUCUGGACAUAGCUAGCAGGCAGCUUGGGAAUAGCUGUAGCAGACACACUCCAAGGCAUUGCAUGAGAAGAGCAAGAAGUUUCAAGAGGAAGAGACAAUUCACUGAGCUUCCCUUCCCCUCCCCCCCCCCCCCCCCAGCUGCAAUUAGUUUUUCUUGGUGCACUAAGGAUGCAGUACUUCUAGUAUCCCUACCUGCCACAUAACUAAGACACUGACUGUAUCACUGGGUCUCUGACAGUGUCAAGACCACAGUUUGUGAAGCAGCAGAGACACUUCACGUCUUGCCCUUCACUCCUGUCUCUUCCCCAGUGCGUGCAGUUCACUGAAUUUGCCUGCUCUUCAGUGCCAGCCUGCAACAUGUCAAACCAUUUUCUUAGAGAGCAGAGCUUUUUGCAAAAGCACAAGCCAUGCCCUGUACCUCUCCAGCAAGGAGGAUGGAGUAGCACUGCCUGGACAGGGGAUGGCACAAGGCAUGCCUAACACACACUUGUUAGAGCUUCUUUGUCACAGCAGCCUGGGACUAGCCCCAGAGUCUGGGAAGCAAACAGCCAGAGACCACUCACUGCAGCAAACAGGGUUCAAGGAGCACCUACUGCUACAGGAGCUCAGGUCACAGUAGGUUAUAAUUUGCCAGUGGUGUGGUCCAGCUCAAUGGCAGCUGCAAGGCAGUAGUGUAGAUGAGCAUAUAGGUGAACACAUACCCUUUCCCACUGCCUACCCCCAGAGCACGCACACACGAGCAAGCAGAUUAGAGCAGGAAACAGCAGAGAAAGCAGCCAUGGCAAGUUUGGGUUUAUUUCACAAUGCAAGGGAAAAGAAAACAAAACCAAGCUAUAGCAGUUAGCUGAACUUAAUAGCUUUCACUUUAAAGUCACCCUCCACAGCCAGGUAUUGAAUUUUCUCCAUGCCCAGCCGAUUGGGAAACUCAAACUCCACUUCAGGCACCUUCACCUUGACCUCUGCUGCAUCAAAGGAGAUACAGAUCUCAACCUUGUCGCCCUGCUGGAAAGGGAAGUCAGCCUUCCUGUCCUCCUCACCCCACGUGCCAUCCUCCUUUGAGUUGCACACAACAGUGUUGACAUCCCCAUGGCAGUCAAAGCGAGGGUUGAAAUGAAGCAUGAGUGUGCUGCUGUCCUUCCCUACAUUCACAGAAAACCCUUUGGCAUCGGAUAGGAUCUUCCCUUUGACCUUGACACACUCUCCAGGCUGUACAUCCAGCUGGGUAACAACCAGUCCUUGCUCCAUGAUGCAGACGCCCCAAGCCCCUGCUCC
rnacentral:lncRNA from 1 species